rnacentral:rRNA from 1 species
GACGAACGCUGGCGGCGUGCCUAAUACAUGCAAGUUGAGCGAUGAAGCUUGGUGCUUGCACCAAUUUGAAGAGCAGCGAACGGGUGAGUAACGCGUGGGGAAUCUGCCUUUGAGCGGGGGACAACAUUUGGAAACGAAUGCUAAUACCGCAUAAUAACUUUAAACAUAAGUUUUAAGUUUGAAAGAUGCAAUUGCAUCACUCAAAGAUGAUCCCGCGUUGUAUUAGCUAGUUGGUGAGGUAAAGGCUCACCAAGGCGAUGAUACAUAGCCGACCUGAGUGGGUGAAAGGCCACAUUGGGACUGAAACACGGCCCAAACUCCUACGGGAGGCAGCAGUAGGGAAUCUUCGGACAGUGACGAAAGGCUGACCGAGCAACGCCGCGUGAGUGAAGAAGGUUUUCGGAUCGGAAAACUCUGUUGGUAGAGAAGGACGUUGGUGAGAGUAGAAAGCUCAUCAAGUGACGGUAACUACCCAAAAAGGGACGGCUAACUACGUG